UAGCCGGGAUAUAUAAAGCGGCCCACACUAUACGCAAAAGCACCCGUUUCAUCUUGAAUUUGUGAAGGCGAAAACUAGGGCAAACAUGAUCAUUCCGGUCCGAUGCUUCACCUGCGGCAAGGUUAUUGGAAACAAAUGGGACACGUAUCUUGAUCUUCUCCAGUCUGAUUACACCGAAGGGUGAGUUCUUUUCUUGCUUUCUUUAUGCGUUUCAUUUCGCUGUUUUGCUCAAAGAUGAAGUUUUAACAUGGACAUGUUUUUGUUUUUUUUUUUAUGUAAAUAAAAAGUAUUAAACUGAUAUGGAGCAAUUGCUCGAGUGUGGGUGAAAUAACUGCUAACUAUCUUAAAUAUGUGUCCUAUAUGUUGUCAAAAGCGCCCGAGGGCAGCGAGGGCGACUGGUGAGGCGCGCUUUUAGGUGCUGAGGCGCAAAAUCAGGCUAAAAGUCGUCUGAAACCCUUGAAAUAUCUUAAACUAGCCCUCAACAAGCCUAAAACAUCUCUAAAACCCAUAAAUAUGUAUUUUAUACUAUGCGUUUAAAAAAGCUUUUGUUUUUAAGGGCCUAACGCGCCUAGGCUCUGGGCUCGGUCUAGGCGAUUUGACAACGUAGUAUGUGUCUAUUUUGUGACUGGUGUUUCCUUUACUCUGUGGGAGUUGGAAGUGGCACAGAUUUAUUGUCCGUUUGUUGAUUGAGGUUUGCUAGCUCAGGGGGUUAUGGAAGUAAAAGUUUCAAACAAAAAUGCAGUGGUUAAUUCUCACCCCCACCUCACUUUUGAUAUGGAAGCAUUAGGGGCUACAAUUCUUGACACGACCCACCAACCCGACCUGAACCAAACACGAAACAAACAGGUUUGGGUCGAUUAACAUGACCUAUUUAAAAAAAGGGUCGGGUUCGGGUUGACCCAUUAACCAUUUAACUAUUUAGAAAAAAAAAUCUUUUAUAUUUUUGUUUUUCUUUUUUCUGUUUCCAUUUUACAUGGUUAGUUAUAAUAAUGUAAGUUUUGACACACUAUAUUAUUUAUUUGUCACGCUCAUACUCAUCAUUAAACAUGAUAUUUUGAAUAUGUGUCCUAUGUUGUCAAAAGCGCCUGAGGGCAGCAAAUGGGCCUCGACUGGUGAGACACACUUUUGGGUGCUGAGGCGCAAAAUCAGGCUAAAAGUCGUCUGAAACCCUUAAAACAUCCUAAACUAGCCCUCAACAUCUCUAAAACUCAUAAAAAUGUCUUUUAUGCUAUGCGUCUAUUAGACAACAUAGUAUGUGUCUAUUUUUGACUGGUGUUUCCUUUACUAUGUGGGCGUUGGAAGUUGCACAGAUUUAUUGCCCAUUUGUUGAUUGAGGUAUGCUAGUUCAGGGUGUUAUGAAAGUAAUAGUUUCAAACAAAAAUGCAGUGGUUAAUUCCCACCCCACCUCACUUUUGACAUGGAAGCAUAAUAGUUUCUUGUGGUGGUGCAUCAAGGGAUGGAGUUGGUGAGGCACGGAAGUGGGGUUUUGCUGUGCGGUUGUGCAUGAAUCACAUUAGGGCUUAUAGGGUUCUUAAUCAUAUACGGUCUUGUAGGGUUUGGGGUCGUGAUGGCCUGAUGGGUGAUUUGUUGACCUAGUGUGAAUAAACAUUUAUUCAAAUGAGGCAUAGACUAGCCAGAAGCUUUAACUAGAGUCUUUUUGGUUUUUUUUUUCUAGUAAUAUUUUCUUACAUAGAACGUGUGCAAUCUAAUAUACACUUACAUGAAUGACAUGUUUUUGAGGCUCUGUAGUCUGUAUGCUACUAAUUUUUUAAAGCUUAAUGAGUCAAUAAUAAAAAUAUGUAAAUAUCUCAAGUGAGGGGUAUGCUAGCAGAAGCUUUAACUAGAGCUUUUGGUUUCUUUUUUAUCCAAAGUUUUAAUUUUUUUUAUAUAGAAAGUGUGCAAUAUAUUGAUAUAUGUUGCAUAACUGACAUGUUUAUGAGGCUCUAUGGUCUGUAUAAUAAUCCCAUAAUGUGCAAUAUAUUGAUAUAUGUUGCAUAACUGCCAUGUUUAUGAGGCUCUAUUAUUUGGAUAUCUUUGUUAUCAAACUUUAUCGCAUAUAUGCAGAUAGGUUGUUAUACUCACAUGGUCUUUGCUUUUUGGUAAAUUGUUUUGGCGAUGUUUUGAUGCCCUAUUUCACUUGAACUAUGAUUCAUCUUCAAUCUUCAUUUAAUAUUUGCUACAUGAAUUGUGCAGAGAUGCUCUUGAUGCUUUGGGGCUUGUCCGUUAUUGUUGCAGAAGAAUGCUGAUGACGCAUGUUGAUCUCAUUGAAAAGCUUCUCAACUAUAACACAUUGGAGAAGUCUGACACCAGCUGAAGCGUCAUUGGAGAACGGUUAGCAAUGGAGAAUGAUUGCUUAGAACAAGUGUACUGGCAUUUUGUUUCAACAUUGUGUUUCAUUUCUAAAAGUCGGUGUAAAAUUACUGGAAACAAGCAAACAUGUUAACGUAUGGUAGGUAUCAAUUUGUUUCUAUGUUGAUGC
rnacentral:lncRNA from 1 species